rnacentral:piRNA from 1 species
UNCUUUAUUGGCACAGCUAGCGGUCACAC